AAGUCGAAGUUGCGUUUCAAAAUAUAUAGAAAAAGCCCCAUCGCUCUCUCCAUACAAUACAAAUCUCCAUUGUCUUGUUGGGUUGAACGAUAAUCAUAAAACCCAAAAACGAAUUUGUGAAAAGACUCUUGCUGCCCCUACUCCUCUCUUUGGAUGCUCCUCACUCUCUCAUGGUCACCUCUUUCUUGCCCUGUAAGUUCCAAAACCUAACCCCAUUUUCUCUCCCUAUUUUUUAAUCUUUCUAGGCUGAUGUUUUGCUCGAGAAACCCCGGAAAAGUGCACGGCCGUUUGAAUUGUUUUCCUCUACUUUUUGCUUUUUGGCAAGAUUUUGCUUCAAGAUUUUAGGGUUUUCGUUUCUUUUCCUGCUGAAUCUGGAUGUUUAGUGGUGGAUUUACUGCUUUUGAUUGUGGGUUCUUUGUUUGUUAUAGUUAAUCUCUGGACCCCAGAUCAGGAUUUGUUUGUAAGACUGACUGCUUUGGUCAAUCGGAUGUUUCCCGUGUCGGUUUGAUUUUCUUUUGUGAAUUUGGGUUUGGGUGAGAAUCUCCAGUUUUCUGGUUGGGAUUGGCGAGAUUAGCUGUUUUGGAUAUCUGAGUUUGUUCCUGCCUCCGCAUUGAGGGUUUGUUGUGGGCAUGGUGGGAAAAGAGGAUGGUUCUCGUGUUCCGUACCAGGUUGCUGGAAAUCGGAAAACGUUCUGGCGGUCGGCGUCCUGGUCUUCGUCUCGGACGGGGCUGAGAAACCCUGAGUCUGAAGAAAAGGAUUGCUCAGAUCCAAACGGUGGUAUUGGGAAUAAUAGUGGCCAAAACCGGCGGUUUCCGGCUCCAUUAACCCCACGAUCUCAGCAAAACUGUAAGGCCCGGGCGUGCUUGCCACCACUGCAGCCAUUGUCCAUUGCUCGCAGGAGCUUGGAUGAGUGGCCAAAGGCAAGUUCUGAUGAUGUUGGGGAGUGGCCUCAACCACCCACCCCAAGUGGGAGAGAUAUGAAUAAGGGUGGAGAUAGGCUGAAGCUUGAUUUGUCUGCGAUUCAGAAAAACCCGGAUAAGAAUGGUGGGCUUGUGAGGAGGGAUAAGAUUGCAUUCUUUGAUAAAGAGUGCUCUAAGGUUGCUGAACAUAUAUAUCUUGGGGGAGAUGCGGUUGCAAAGGAUAGGGAGAUUUUGAAGCAGAACAGAAUCACCCAUAUUCUCAAUUGUGUGGGUUUUGUUUGUCCUGAAUAUUUCAGAGCCGAUUUUGUGUACAGAACUUUGUGGUUGCAGGAUAGUCCAUCUGAAGACAUCACCAGUAUACUUUAUGAUGUUUUUGACUACUUUGAGGAUGUUAGAGAACAGGGGGGAAGGGUUUUUGUUCAUUGUUGCCAAGGGGUGUCUCGAUCCACUUCGCUUGUGAUUGCAUAUCUUAUGUGGAGAGAAGGGCAGAGUUUUGAAGAUGCAUUUCAGUAUGUGAAAGCAGCUAGGGGAAUUGCUGAUCCAAAUAUGGGGUUUGCUUGCCAGUUGUUACAGUGUCAAAAAAGGGUCCAUGCCUUUCCUCUUAGUCCAAGUUCAUUACUGAGGAUGUAUAGAAUUGCCCCACACUCUCCAUAUGAUCCUUUGCAUCUUGUUCCAAAAAUGUUGAAUGAUCCUUCACCAUCUGCUCUUGAUUCUAGGGGUGCAUUUAUUGUACAUGUACCUUCUGCAAUCUAUGUUUGGAUUGGUAAAAAUUGUGAGUUCAUAAUGGAAAGGGAUGCCAGAGCUGCGGUUUGUCAGAUUGUUCGUUAUGAAAGAGUACAGGGGCCAAUAACAGUGAUCAAGGAAGGAGAAGAACAGUCAUACUUCUGGGAUGCUUUUUCUAACCUUUUGCCUUUGAUGGAUAAAUCUGUUAAUGGGGUGGAGGUUGGGAAAUCAAUGGUUGAUGUUUGCCUUGGUGAGAGAAAAGUGGAUUCAUAUAAUGUUGAUUAUGAGAUUUUCAAGAAAGCAAUCUCCGGGGGUUUUGUGCCCCCUUUUGCAUCAUCUGAGACUGAACAUGAAACCCACCUUCCUGUAAGAGAAAGCAGUUGGAGUGCGCUGAGGCGUAAGUUUGCCUUUGGCAAUAUGAAGGAGUUCAUUUCGGCUCCCAGGUUAUCCUUUCACAGGGUGUUUUCAGAUUCUAUGUUAAUAGUCGGUGUUGAUAAUUUUAUGAACAAACCAUCACAUUCUCCUGCUAAUUCUUCAACAUCAUCCUCACCACCACCAUCAUCAUCAUCAUCAGCAUCAUCAUCAUCAUCAUCAUCAUCUUCAUCUUCCUCACCACCUUAUCUCUCCCCUGAUUCCAUUUCUUCCGAUUCAAGUGGUACAUCAAAGUAUUUUUCUGAGUCCCCUCUGAUGUCUCCUUCCACUGUUGCAUGCCCUCUUCCUCUAUCAUCAACCUUGUCUACCCUUUCUAAUUUGUCUCUUUUCACAUCUAGCACAUCUAACACUUCUUCUCAAUCUGCAUCUAAUGCUUCUUUUCAAUCUGUGUCUAACAAUCCAGAACUUGUUAGUGUUACUUCACAGCAUUCUUCUCAAUCAGUCUCCCUACCAUUUAAAAGAUUUCCCGUUUCCCUGGCUGAGCGCAGAGGUAGCUUGUCAAAGUCACUUACACUGCCUGUGUUGACUGAUGAAACAAGGUUAAAAAAUAAUGUUUCAACUUCGGUUUCCUGUCAAGAAGAUGCUGUGAGGAUAGACGUCAACACUUGCUCUUUUUCUGAACCAUGUUCUAGUGUAGAACAUGUCUCAGAGUUCAAGAAUGGUGCUAGAAAUGGAGAUGGGAACUCAACUGAACAAUGCGAGUUGCGGAUAUCAUCAGGUAGAGUAGCUAGUGAUGAUUCACAUAAGGACAUUGGUUUUGUCAGAAAUGGUGAUGAGACACUGAGAAAUGAUCCUUUGGAAGGAAGUCAGGAUUCAACUGUCUUGACUGGAAUGAUGGAAGCUCAUGGUGACCCAGUACAACCAUUAGUAUGUUGCUGGCCUAGCUUAGAAAAAUUUGCAUCCUUUGGUGCAGGUGAUCUGGAUUCCAAAGCUGCAUUUGUUUUCUUCUUUCCAAGUACAGGUUUAGGAAAAGCUGAGGAUAGGAUUAUAUAUAUUUGGGUAGGAAGAUCUUUCAAUCAUGGUAAUACCCGGGCUCUACUAGAUAGCAGCAGAGAGGUAGGUGAUCUAGAAGAGAUUGACUGGAACCAAGUUGGUUGUGAUGUUCGUUCUCAGCUGGGUCUGCCAGAGGACACUGCCAUUAAGAUUGUUAAAGAAGAUGAAGAGCCAGUAGAAUUCUUUGCAUUGUUGCAUCCAUUGUAGCACUACCACAGUUCAGGAGAUAUUCUGAAAUCCAAUAGCUCGCAUUAUUUUCCCAUUUCUUCAGGUGGUGUAAUUUGCACUAGAACUUAGUCAGGCAUCAGAAGGACCUUCCCCUGACAAAAUCAGUGAGGAGAUGCUGCUUCAUAAGUUCUUUGUGGCAAUUCAACUGGUUGUACAGUGCUGUGACAACUUCGUAACCCGGACUUAAUUGUCCCACUGACUGAAUCUUCUUGUAUAUGAACUAUUAUUAGAAACAGAUUCCCAGAGCCAAAUCAGGCAAAUUAGAUAAUGUUUUAAAACUUUAAUUUCUGCAGGUUAAUCUUUCUGCUACUUUUGUGUUUUAGUUUUAACACAUGCCACUGGAAACAGAUGCCAAAGCCCAUUCAGGCCAAAGUUAAAUAUGUUGGAACGCCCUUGCAGGAGCUUCAUGCGUUUGCUCU